ensembl:lncRNA
CCUGGUUGUGUUUUUAACUGUAUUUUUUUUUUAUUGUACUUUAAUUGAUUCUCAUAGCUCAAACACAGCUAUUGAUCCAUUUAUGACAAGCUGAUCAUUCUGAAGCUUUCAGCAAAGUGAACUCUGGCAUGACAACAUGAAUUCACCUUACACAGCUGUGCAGUAUUACCCUGAGUUUCCCUUUCGGCGGUAAGUACCUAAAGGUUGUUGAAAUUGAUGACCUAUACUCACACGUACUUAUAGGGUAGACUGUAUUGAGGUCAUGUUUUUUUGCCUAAUUAGUUAAACAAUAUGUGUUGCGUGGAUUCGAAGUGUAGCUAUACUCCUUCAUAAUGAGCCUUACAUUAAGUUUAAAAGAAUGAUGUAGGACUUGCUGGCUGGGAAUCUCCCUGCUCCUGUUUGACCCGCGCUGCAGUUCACGCUGUCUGGAGGUCCAAAACGGCCUGAGAACAGUUGUGUCUGCCUGGAUCCUCAGCUGCUGCUGCUCGGUCCUGAUAUAUUUAUAAGGGCAGCAUACUUAUGGCAGCAAUGCAUGUGUAAAGGGCAAUCAGGGCUGAAGGCAGGCAGAUUACAUGACAUCUGGAGGUCCUCUUCUGGAGAUUUUUGAACCUCAAUGGGAGUGCAUGUGCUAGUACUGUAGCUCUAUAGGCUUUGAUAAUUGCACAUGUUUUGCACCAAAACUACCUACAUGAGUGUUUCUUCUCUCAUUCUAAAAUAUUUAAAUUCUUUAAAUUCUUUGCAGAUUGGAUGUGUUCUGUGUGCUUUUUGCCCCUUUAAAUUUACCAUCACAGCACUCUUGUAGUUGAGUUUAACAGUUACAUUUGUAAUUUUUUUUUUUUAGUUUUUCUGUUUUGCUUGAUGACAAUUUUGACCGUUCUGGCUGUGGCACAAAUUUGAAAACAAUGUAACUGUUUUUGAAAAGGGAUGAAAAGUAUCUUCCUUGGCCUGUAAAUCCCUCCACCUGUCUUGUAUCCUUUGCCUUCUACGCCUUACCUUCCCUCUUGCACCAGAUGAUCAAAAUAAAAGGAGGAGAAACUCUGGGGCUUUCUAUUGUUUUUCACUCGUGUCCCUUUUCCAGCCUCGGCUGACGGAUGAGGGGGAGAAGGUCUUAGGCCUUUGAAAAGUGAUUAAUAAUGACACUGGAGAAGGACCCCGAUCGGCUGGGCUGUUUGUUUUGAUUGCAUUUUCAUCGGUCGGUGUGCACAACCUGCCAAGAGACAAUAGCCAUCCCUGUUUAGUGCUGA